UACAGAGGUCCCGAGCGUUGUUCGGAUUCACUGGGCGUAAAGGGUGCGUAGGCGGUUUGACAAGUCUGAUGUGAAAUCUAUGGGCUCAACCCAUAGUCUGCAUCGGAAACUGUCGGGCUUGAGUAUGGGAGAGGUGAGUGGAAUUUCCGGUGUAGCGGUGAAAUGCGUAGAUAUCGGAAGGAACACCUGUGGCGAAAGCGGCUCACUGGACCAUUACUGACGCUGAGGCACGAAAGCUAGGGGAGCAAACAGG
rnacentral:rRNA from 1 species